AUAACUACAUUCAAACAUGGUCUUGGCUUAUAUUUUCUCUUGUAUAAGGAUCCUUCUGAGGGCUUCAAAUUUCUGAAGUUGAGGAACUUAAAUCUAGAAGCACUGUAAUUAUCCUCUAGAACUUGUAUUGCUUGUUUUCAACUUUUUUUUCCAACUUCAUAGCAAGCAGAAGUCUUUUUUUUGAUUAUUCACUUGUUUAUUUUUUUGGGGAAGGGUCUGUGGAAAGAUUUAUUGAUAAAGCAAGACUAAUGGCAACGAUAGCAGUUUCAUUAGCCGUCAUUAUAUUCUCAUUAAUUUAAAAAUGUCAACAAGCAGCAAAAUUCUAUUAACCCUUUUCCCUGAUCUUAAUAAAUCCAGUGAUGACUGAUUGUAUGUACAAUGUACUUGAUGCAACUAAUCCCACACUUGAAUAGCUAGACCUGGCUUGUCUUGUAUUGUUCUAACCUAGCACUUACGGUUUCAUGGAUUCCGUUUCAUACGAAAUUUAUCAGCCGUGUCACUCCAUUACUGUCCUACAAAUAACAUUUGUUUCUGGGUUGCAUCGUGAUAACUUCGGAUGCUCUUAAUUUGAUAGGCAAUUUUUGUUUGUGUUUUCUGUAGUUUAAUUUGCUUACUCAGCCGAGCUUAAUGCAACAUAUGUUUGUUUUACAGAGCAAUGUGAAAGGGAUAGGGCACGUGUUCUUGUCCACUGCAUGUCUGGAAAAAGCAGAUCGCCAGGUAUUGUGAUAGCUUAUUUGAUGAAGAGCAAAGGAUGGAGACUUGCACAGAGUUACCAAUGGGUGAAAGAUCGGAGACCACCUGUUGAAUUAACUCAAGGUGAUGCCAUAAAGUUAUAUAGAUUGAUUAUAUUUUAAUUGAUGGAAGCUAAUUUGUUUGGUGGUAUAUAUGCUUGGAAUAUCACAUCAUCAAAGCAACAAACAAUCAGUAGUGUGUAGGAUAAGGAUAAAAGAAACAAAUUGAUACUACUUGACUUAGCAGCUGACCAUUUCUUAGUUUUGUAAGAGCAACUCAACACUAAUAGGCAUUUCGCCUAACAAAAGUACAUAAAAAGUAGCUAGCCAAGAGAGGGUGAGGCAAAAUGCUACCGUGUUGCCUGUCUUGUUGGAGCUCCGUUCUGUCACGAUACCAGGCAAAAUGCCUUAGUACUAUAAAUGCCUCUCCCAUUGGAAUUAUAAGAUCACAGUACCUGUUUGCAUGCUAGUAGGGUUAAGAGGGAGACAAAAAUCAAUAAUGGUCAAGAAAGAUAGGUCGGAUAUUCAUAUCUUUAUUUAAGAAGAAUUAAAAGAUGAGUCAUGUUGCAUGUAUGUUUGUGCAUGCUUUCUUAUGGCUUUUGCCCGAGCAGACUGCUUCUUCCCUGGUAUCAGCAUCAGCCAAAGUUCUUGUCAUUGUUAUUCCUGCCUUUUCCAGCUUAUAUUUCAACUUAUGAAGCACGGACACGGACACUCGGACA